rnacentral:rRNA from 1 species
AGAGCGAACGCUGGCGGCAGGCUUAACACAUGCAAGUCGAGCGGGCGUAGCAAUACGUCAGCGGCAGACGGGUGAGUAACGCGUGGGAACAUACCUUUUGGUUCGGAACAACACAGGGAAACUUGUGCUAAUACCGGAUAAGCCCUUACGGGGAAAGAUUUAUCGCCGAAAGAUUGGCCCGCGUCUGAUUAGCUAGUUGGUGAGGUAACGGCUCACCAAGGCGACGAUCAGUAGCUGGUCUGAGAGGAUGAUCAGCCACAUUGGGACUGAGACACGGCCCAAACUCCUACGGGAGGCAGCAGUGGGGAAUAUUGGACAAUGGGCGCAAGCCUGAUCCAGCCAUGCCGCGUGAGUGAUGAAGGCCCUAGGGUUGUAAAGCUCUUUUGUGCGGGAAGAUAAUGACGGUACCGCAAGAAUAAGGCCCCGGCUAACUUCGCGCCAGCAGCCGC